GGAGGGAUAGCGAAGAGGCUAAACGCGACGGACUGUAAAUCCGUUCCCAUCGGGUUCGUAGGUUCGAAUCCUACUCCCUCCACCA
rnacentral:tRNA from 1 species